rnacentral:lncRNA from 1 species
AAAGACCUAUGGUUUAAAGUUUAGAAUACUAUUUAAUGUAUAACUUUUAUAUGAAGUACAUUAAAAUAACACUGUGCGAUUAUACUUCAUCAUAAUCUCCAUUGUUCCUUGAACAACAUCCAAUGACACAUCCACCAAGCCACAGCGCAGCGAAACCAGUCAUAAAUAGUCCUGUCAAUAGUGCGUCCAUAUCUUUACAAUUCCUAUUAAUGAGUACACACGAAAUAGUUACACAUAAAAUUCCAAGGAAAGUCCAAAUUAAAAUGCAACAAGACUUUAAACAAACACUCAAUCCUGAACAUAAACUUAUUCCUGAAAACAGUAUUGUACAAGCAGCAACAAUCGGAAGAACUGCUAUUAGCCAUUUUUCGCUAUUGUUUUUGCAAUGACUACUUUGUGUAAACUCUGCAGCAAGAAUGAAUAUUAUUCCAGUGAGUGUCCAGAAUAUUGAACAUGACCAUUUAACGCAGUUUGUUCCGGUAUCACACACGCACAGAACCAUAGACAUGAUAGCUAUUUACUUCCAGUCU